rnacentral:misc_RNA from 1 species
GUUGAAUAAAAAUUCUCCCCGUAAAUUUUCCAUGCAGCAAGGUAUAGAUAGGUAUACCGUGGAUACGUAGAAAUAAAGCACAAGAGGGAAGAGGUUUGUUCACUUCACAGUAUUAUUACUAUAAAAUUCCACUUUCCCACUCAAUAAUAUAGAUGAUAUACCAAAUCCAACAACAAAUAAAAUGUCUUCACUCGGAUGUCAGUCGCUCACCCAUCUUCCCACCUUAUAUCUUACUUCCCCCCAAUGAAUUCAUUCAACCAGAGGGUAUUCAAAUCACACCAAGAUAAAUAUUGAAUAAUCCCAAACCAGUUGCAGUAGCAUAUCACCUUAUUUGACUCAAAUCAUUCGGCUGACUCUGGAUUAUGCCAUUCUCGUUCAGGUAUUCAACAAAUUCAUCGAUAAGGUAUGGCCAAGCACCUUCAGCAUCAUAAUUUGAUAGUGUCGGCUCCACAGUCCUUGCAAACUCCAGAAGUUGAGACCAUGUGUCCCUAGAAAUAGCUUUAUUAUGCCGAGCCUGCAAGAACUGACACCAGUGGUCGACCAGGAGCCACUGCUUUUCAGCAAAUAGUAACUGCCACAUUCCAAUUGCAGUGUCCAAUGCUAAAGAUUUUUGCCCCUUUUCUUUUGCCCAACCAAAUGCGAAGUUGUAAAUCUCACGGAACUUUUGAUCAUCUUUCAACUCAGAGCGCAUAUAUGGUAUCCUUUCUCGAAACCUCUCCAGAGAAUCUAUCCCUAGUGCUUGUAAUCCACCUAUAAACUCCUGUUUGGAAAACUCACACAUUGUGUUUGCCUUCAUAUGCCAAGAAACAACCAACAUAACAAUAUCUUGAGGAUCCACCUGAAGGUCAUCACAGAGCAGUGAGAUUCCAUCAGCCAAUAUCAUAUCAACAUAUGGAUCUUUAUAUCUGUUAUAAAGCUCUUCCAAAUGUCUAGAGUCGGUGAAUGCUUUAAUUUGGGGUUGACUGUAAAAUACAUCAAAAGCUCCCUCAAGAUGCCAAUCGCUAGCCUUCAGGGCCUGAUGAGCAACCUUUUCACUUGUACCAGUUAUGGCCAUAAAUUGAUGGAGCUUAUCUCGGUGUCCUCUGCUUAAUUUAUGCAUUUUGUAGGUGGUGGGUAGAAGCUCAACGCAGAGAAAGGGCAAGCGCAGGCUACUGUGAAGGAACUAUUUUCUUGAAGUGAGAUUUUCCCGGCGAAAUGGCGAAAACGCCAUUACUUAUUUUGUGUACCUUCCUCCUACUAGGAACCCUAACUCUCAUCCAGGCAAAGAAGUCGAAGGAGAAUCUGAAAGAAGUGACUCACAAGGUUUACUUCGAUGUGGAAAUUGACGGAAAGGCUGCUGGUCGUAUUGAGAUGGGUCUUUUCGGGAAGGCUGUUCCUAAAACCGCUGAAAAUUUCCGAGCA